GGAACGAUGCGACUUUCCCAAUAAGGCCAAUGUGGGUUUACGGUUCGAUAUGGGAUGCUUCCCAGUGGGCAACAGAGGAUGGAAAUAUAAGGCGGAUUAUCACUACCAGCCAUUCGUGUCCAAGUACCGGGACUUCAAAAUAAGCGGUUGCACGGCGGAGGCGGGGGCAUCUUGCCGGCCAGGCUCCGGCGGGUUGAGCCAACAGCAAUAUAAAGCAAUGGAGUGGGUGCAGAGGAAUUACUUGGUGUAUGAUUACUGCAAUGAUCCAAAGAGAGAUCACACGCAGAUACCUGAAUGUUAAACCCUAACAAGAAU
rnacentral:misc_RNA from 1 species